rfam:Schistosoma margrebowiei strain Zambia genome assembly, scaffold: SMRZ_contig0002096
AUCUAGCUGACGAGUCUCAAAUUGGACAAAACGCGCGUUCUGGAU